CCGAGGUGCUGGAAAAGCACGGCAUGUCGGGCAGCAUCCUCGGACCGGGAGAAUUGACCAGUUUCGGGCAAAAGCCCUUCAUCAAGGAGUUUCUGGGUGGCCAGUCCUGCACGUGACACCAGCUGGCAACUUGCAGCACGCGAGAGAGCAGUUGGUGGAGGUUUGGGUCACACCUGCCACCUUCGAUAAGCCCAACAGGGAGCUGGGAAAGCGAGAGGCCACGGCUGUACUGCAGUGUCAGAGUCUGGCCGAACAAACGAUAUAGUUAACAUUGAGAAUCAAGAGUCUGUUCAACUGUCUUAUUCAAAUGAUUGCACAGAACUGCUCAAUACUGGAACCAAAAGUAUCCAUCUCUAAGGCCGCCUACUUGCGGAACGUUUCAGAGAACACCUCUGGGACACCCGGACCAACCAACCCAACUACCCUAUGGUUCAACACUUCAACUCCCCCUCCCACUCCACCAAGGGCAUGCAAGUCCUUGGACUCCUCCAUCGCCAGACCAUAGCAAUACAACGGCUGGAGGAAGAGCGCCUCAUUUUACGCCUAGAAACCGUCCAACCACAAGGGAUGAACUCAGAUUUCUCCAGUUUCCUCAUUUCCCCUCCCCCCACCUUGUCUCAGUCCCAACCCUCCAACUCAGCACCACCUUCCUAACCUGCAAUCUUCUUCCUGACCUCUCCGCCCCCACACCCACUCCGGCCUAUCACCCUCACCUUAAUCUCCUUCCACCUAUCGCAUUUCCAGCGCCCCUCCCCCAAGUCCCUCCUCCCUACCUUUUAUCUUAGCCUGCUUGGCACACUCUCCUCAUUCCUGAAGAUGGGCUCAUGCCCGAAACGUCGAUUUUCCUGCUCCUUGGAUGCUGCCUGACCUGCUGCGCUUUUCCAGCAACACAUUUUCAGCUCUGAUCUCCAGCAACUGCAGUCCUCACUUUCUCCUAUCCUUUACCUCCACCAACCUGACCAUCUUCCUUGCUAACGUAGCAUUUGAAUAAAAUUGGGUUGCAUCAAAUAAGAAGAGAAUAUUAAGGGAAGUUGGAUUGAAGGUCUUAUGUUAUCAUCAAAGACUUAUUUAAAAUGAUAUAUCCUUAAAGAUCCUUAACAACCCGUAUCCAUGAACACCAACUGGCCACAAAACGGCACGACCAGCUAUCCCUAGUAGCCAUACACUUGGAUGACAAACAACAUGAAUUCGAUUGGGACAACACCACCAUUAUAGGACAGGCCAAACAGAGAACAGCCAGGGAAUUCCUAGAAGCAUGGCACUCAUCCACGAAUUCGAUCAACAGACACAUCGACCUAGACCCUUUAUACCGGCCACUGCAGCGGACAGCUACUGACAACCGGAAGCGGCAGAUUCAAACCAGUAUAAAUGCUGGAGGAAUCAGCACAGAAGCGCUUUACAGGAGGCUCCCAUGCACUGACGAUGUCACCUAGAAAGGGGACGAAACGUUUGCAAGAAAAACUCCCAGCUCGGCGAACAGAACUACAACAACGAGCACCCGAGCUACAAAUCUUCUCACAAAUUUUGAAAUCCUUAAAGAUCAGUAUCCUUAGGAAGAAAAAUAUACAGUAUUUAAUAUAUCACUGCUACUUUAAUUGGAGUCUUGAUGAGAUUAUAGUUAGCGUAUUCUUUGUGUUUUGAAUAAACAUUCAGAAUGUUAUUUCGGUCGAUAUUGCUGAGGGACUGAUUUUGUUGGAAAUAACAAUGGGCUAUGCAAAUGUUAAGAUGCUU